ensembl:lncRNA
CUCAUCAACACACCACCUGCUUCACUCUCUCAGUACUCUCAUCAACACACCACCUGCUUCACUCUCUCAGUACUCUCAUCAACACACCACCUGCUUCACUCUCUCAGUACUCUCAUCAACACACCACCCGCUUCACUCUCUCAGUACUCUCAUCAACACACCACCCGCUUCACUCUCUCAGUACUCUCAUCAACACACCACCCGCUUCACUCUCUCAGUACUCUCAUCAACACACCACCUGCUUCACUCUCUCAGUACUCUCAUCAACACACCACCUGCUCUCUCUCUCUCUCUCAGUACUCUCAUCAACUAUAGAUUUUUGGGCUCAUGCAUUAUUUCCAAGCUGCUGAAAUAAAUAUACUAAAAUAUAUAUUUUUCAUAUCUUAAAAAAAAGACAAACUGUUUUAGUGUGGGGGAAAAUAACCAGGUUCUAUUUUGUAUUAGUGUAUUUAAUAUCAGACAUUACUGUAGUGUGAUUGUGUACAGGUAUCCACCCUCCCUUAUCUGAUUUGACAUUUUCUUGUGAGUGAAAUAUUGAGGACUCUUGCUGCUGAUUGGGUCUGAGAAGGAAAGAGGGCUGGCCCAGGGCUGUUGCUAUGGGAAUUGUCCCAGCAACCACUAGCCGUAGUGGAAACUGAACAAAAUGGAGGGUGGUUGGGAAGGAGCGGACGUUGCUGCGUUCUGGUUUCAACUUUAAAACAUGAGCGCAGGUGCUUCAUGACAAACCUUACUAGCAUGUUUGGCUGUAUCAUGUUUCUUUGGUACUGUAUUUUGAAUGACCGUUUUAAUUUAUUUAAAAAAAACAUUCUCAAACUACUCGUUGUUUUCACAUUUAUGGAAUUAAUGUGUUUUUGUUGAUUUUCAGUAAACUUGAUUUGUCACAAUGUAUUUGUUUCAUACUAGUCAACUCACAGUACAGACUUGUCACUAUCUUACCAGCAUUAGUUACUGAGCGUGUUGUUGAGUCGACGUUAAGUGUGUGGGUAAAACAGAGUUUGGUUUUAUGUUAAUAUAAAAUGUUUAGUUUGAUCGAGAUGGUGUCGGACAACCUAUAGACCGGUUAUGCCUGCUGUCUGAACUUGUUUUUUCCCUUCCCAUAAUUGUGUUGACUGACACACCACACACUGCCAUUCACCAAGGCAGGUCUUGCAGGUUUUUGCUCAAACCCUAAUCUAGAGCACCUGAUUCUAAUUAGAUGUUGACCGAUUAACCGGAAUGGCCGAUUAAUU